UACGUAGGUGGCAAGCGUUAUCCGGAAUUAUUGGGCGUAAAGAGCGCGCAGGUGGUUGAUUAAGUCUGAUGUGAAAGCCCACGGCUUAACCGUGGAGGGUCAUUGGAAACUGGUCGACUUGAGUGCAGAAGAGGGAAGUGGAAUUCCAUGUGUAGCGGUGAAAUGCGUAGAGAUAUGGAGGAACACCAGUGGCGAAGGCGGCUUCCUGGUCUGUGACUGACACUGAGACGCGAAAGCGUGGGGAGCAAACAGGAUUAGA
rnacentral:rRNA from 1 species